rnacentral:lncRNA from 1 species
UAACAAAGGAAUAUAAAGUAAAAAAAAAUGUAAAAAAAAAAGACCAAUUCCUUAAAGAAAAUGGACUAAUUAUUUGACAGAAGAUAAAACACAGCAUCUGAAACAAAAUGUCUAUUCUUAUCUCAUACUCUGCGCAAACAUCAACUUCAAAUAGACCAGUAGUCUAAAUGUAUCUCUUAAAAGAAUCAAACUCCUUGAAGGAAACGAAAAAAAAAAAAAUAUGUGCAGGCUUGGGGAAUGCAAAUAUUUCUUAAGAGAACUCAAUCAACACAGAACACAAGUCCUCUACGUUCCAGACUCCAUAUACCAGAUUCCCUUGCUAAGUGGUUUAUGGUUUAUGACUAUAUUCAGCCAUUGGAAACCUUAAUAAGCAAUCAGAGAAAAGAAGACCAGACGGAUAUCCCUCCAAUCUCUCUUAUUUGGAUCAGCAGCUUCGUUUCAUCUAUGGUUUCCAGCGAGUGCUAUAACAAACCCCCUUGUGUGAUCCAAGUUUCUUUACCAGAAAAUGUCCCACACUAUAUUUCUAACCUUUUGCCCCAGCCUUCUGGAUACUUGGGAUAACAUAGUCUCCCUGUGUCCCUCUAGUCUAUGAGUAGUAUUGAUUUCUCACUAUUGCUCAUCUCUGGAUUCUCAAUAUUUAUGUUUUCCAACAUCUAUGUAAUCAAUUUGCUAUAUUAAAUAUCCUCUGAUUAAAAUACAGGGGUUUGUGUGUUUUGUUUUAAUUGGAAACUGACUUACACAUUCCUUUAAUUGCUUGUCACACUCCUGCUAUUCACUUAUUCAGGACAAAUAAUGAUUAAGAGCCUUCUUUAAUUGUUUUAUUUUGUAUCCUUCCUAAAGUAGUAUGAUAUUAUUGAGCCAGUGAAUGCAAUGAAGUUUUGUGUCUAUUUUCUCUUGACAUUAUAUAUAUAUUUUUCUAUUUGAAACAUUUGAGCAAAAAAGGAAAGUUUUCCAUUUGUUAUCUCAUGAAUUUUGCAGUCUUCAAAAUGAUAGCCAAAUAACAAUUACUCUUGUCAUAAACAAUAUGUGCUUAAAG